AACCCCAAAGGAACCAGUCUAUUUGGAAGUCUUACCCACCUUUGGUUGCACGGGGUCAUCAGUGGAUUUUCUGGAAAGAAUGAAUGAUAAAUCUGACGAGGCACUGGUGAAUUGCCUGCUUUUGAUCUGGAGAAGACUUGAGUCUGAGUGGCGGAGGUUGGUCAUAUAGGCACUGUGUGAGACUGACCUCCAGUAAAAACCCUGGACUUCAUAGCUCUGCUGAGCUUUCCUGGUUGGCAACUCUUCACACGUGUUCUCACAUAUCAUUCCUGGGAGAAUCAAGUGUGUCCCCACGCAACUCCACUGGGAGGGAACAACUGGAGUAUUGUGCUUGGUUUCUCCUGGGUUUUGCCACAUGUGCGUUUUCCCUUUGUUGAUUUUGAUUUGUAUCCUAACCCUGUAAUAAACUGUAACCAUAAUUAGGACCA